AUACGGAGGAUCCGAGCGUUAUCCGGAUUUAUUGGGUUUAAAGGGUGCGCAGGCGGCCAUUUAAGUCAGCGGUUAAAUCGUGGGGCUCAACCCCAUUCUGCCGUUGAUACUGGGUGGCUUGAUUGCGGUCGAGGUUGGCGGAAUUCGUUGUGUAGCGGUGAAAUGCAUAGAUAUGACGAAGAACACCGAUUGCGUAGGCAGCUGACCAGACCGCAAAUGACGCUCAUGCACGAAAGUGCGGGGAUCGAACAGGAUUAGAUACCCUGGUAGUCCGCACAGUAAACGAUGAUCACUAGGUGUCCGUGGGUAUGACCCAUGGGUGCCGCAGCCAACGCAAUAAGUGAUCCACCUGGGGAGUACGUUCGCAAGAAUGAAACUUAAAGGAAUUGACGGGG
rnacentral:rRNA from 1 species